rfam:Asian citrus Psyllid, Diaphorina citri - Florida Strain, whole genome shotgun sequence.
GCCUAGUUAGCUUAGUUGGUAGCGCGUCUGCCUUGUAAGCGCUAGGUUGUGGGUUAGAUUCCCGUCCGGGGCG